UGGGGAAUAUUGCACAAUGGGCGCAAGCCUGAUGCAGCAACGCCGCGUGAACGAUGAAGGUCUUCGGAUCGUAAAGUUCUGUUGCAGGGGAAGAUAAUGACGGUACCCUGUGAGGAAGCCCCGGCUAACUACGUGCCAGCAGCCGCGGUAAUACGUAGGGGGCGAGCGUUGUCCGGAAUUAUUGGGCGUAAAGGGUACGUAGGUGGUUUUUUAAGUCAGGUGUCAAAGCGUGGGGCUUAACUCCAUUAAGCACUUGAAACUGAAAGACUUGAGUGAAGGAGAGGAAAGUGGAAUUCCUAGUGUAGCGGUGAAAUGCGUAGAUAUUAGGAGGAAUACCGGUGGCGAAGGCGACUUUCUGGACUUUUACUGACGCUCAGGUACGAAAGCGUGGGGAGCAAACAGG
rnacentral:rRNA from 1 species